rnacentral:ncRNA from 2 species
GUAGCUUAUAUGAUCUCUACUUAUAUAUCGUCAUAAUAUGGAUGACAGUUUCUAGCCAGUGCCGUAAAUGCUGGACUAUAAGUAAAAGAGUGUUUGGA